GAUGAACGCUGGCGGCGUGCCUAAUACAUGCAAGUAGAACGCUGAAGGAAGGAGCUUGCUCUUUCCGGAUGAGUUGCGAACGGGUGAGUAACGCGUAGGUAACCUGCCUGGUAGCGGGGGAUAACUAUUGGAAACGAUAGCUAAUACCGCAUAACAGUAGAUGUUGCAUGAUAUCUACUUAAAAGGUGCAAUUGCACCACUACCAGAUGGACCUGCGUUGUAUUAGCUAGUUGGUGAGGUAACGGCUCACCAAGGCGACGAUACAUAGCCGACCUGAGAGGGUGAUCGGCCACACUGGGACUGAGACACGGCCCAGACUCCUACGGGAGGCAGCAGCAGGGAAUCUUCGGCAAUGGACGGAAGUCUGACCGAGCAACGCCGCGUGAGUGAGGAAGGUUUUCGGAUCGUAAAGCUCUGUUGUAAGAGAAGAACGAGUGUGAGAGUGGAAAGUUCACACUGUGACGGUAUCUUACCAGAAAGGGACGGCUAACUACGUG
rnacentral:rRNA from 1 species